GUGCUCGCUUUGGCAGCACAUAUACUAAAAUU
rnacentral:snRNA from 1 species